rnacentral:rRNA from 1 species
GACGAACGCUGGCGGCGUGCCUAAUACAUGCAAGUAGAACGCUGAAGAGAGGAGCUUGCUCUUCUUGGAUGAGUUGCGAACGGGUGAGUAACGCGUAGGUAACCUGCCUUGUAGCGGGGGAUAACUAUUGGAAACGAUAGCUAAUACCGCAUAACAAUGGAUGACCCAUGUCAUUUAUUUGAAAGGGGCAAAUGCUCCACUACAAGAUGGACCUGCGUUGUAUUAGCUAGUAGGUGAGGUAACGGCUCACCUAGGCGACGAUACAUAGCCGACCUGAGAGGGUGAUCGGCCACACUGGGACUGAGACACGGCCCAGACUCCUACGGGAGGCAGCAGUAGGGAAUCUUCGGCAAUGGGGGCAACCCUGACCGAGCAACGCCGCGUGAGUGAAGAAGGUUUUCGGAUCGUAAAGCUCUGUUGUAAGUCAAGAACGAGUGUGAGAGUGGAAAGUUCACACUGUGACGGUAGCUUACCAGAAAGGGACGGCUAACUACGUGCCAGCAGCCGCGGUAAUACGUAGGUCCCGAGCGUUGUCCGGAUUUAUUGGGCGUAAAGCGAGCGCAGGCGGUUUGAUAAGUCUGAAGUUAAGGCUGUGGCUCAACCAUAGUUCGCUUUGGAAACUGUCAAACUUGAGUGCAGAAGGGGAGAGUGGAAUUCCAUGUGUAGCGGUGAAAUGCGUAGAUAUAUGGAGGAACACCGGUGGCGAAAGCGGCUCUCUGGUCUGUAACUGACGCUGAGGCUCGAAAGCGUGGGGAGCGAACAGGAUUAGAUACCCUGGUAGUCCACGCCGUAAACGAUGAGUGCUAGGUGUUGGAUCCUUUCCGGGAUUCAGUGCCGCAGCUAACGCAUUAAGCACUCCGCCUGGGGAGUACGACCGCAGGGUUGAAACUCAAAGGAAUUGACGGGGGCCCGCACAAGCGGUGGAGCAUGUGGUUUAAUUCGAAGCAACGCGAAGAACCUUACCAGGUCUUGACAUCCCGAUGCUAUUUCUAGAGAUAGAAAGUUACUUCGGUACAUCGGUGACAGGUGGUGCAUGGUUGUCGUCAGCUCGUGUCGUGAGAUGUUGGGUUAAGUCCCGCAACGAGCGCAACCCCUAUUGUUAGUUGCCAUCAUUCAGUUGGGCACUCUAGCGAGACUGCCGGUAAUAAACCGGAGGAAGGUGGGGAUGACGUCAAAUCAUCAUGCCCCUUAUGACCUGGGCUACACACGUGCUACAAUGGUUGGUACAACGAGUUGCGAGUCGGUGACGGCAAGCUAAUCUCUUAAAGCCAAUCUCAGUUCGGAUUGUAGGCUGCAACUCGCCUACAUGAAGUCGGAAUCGCUAGUAAUCGCGGAUCAGCACGCCGCGGUGAAUACGUUCCCGGGCCU